GGGCGGUUAGCUCAGCGGUAGAGCACUGCUUUCACACGGCAGGGGUCACAGGUUCAAUCCCUGUACCGCCCACCA
rnacentral:tRNA from 10 species